ACUUUCCAAAAAAACUUUCUAAUUCCUCGUUGUACCUUUAAUUGACAUAGACCCCA
rnacentral:tRNA from 1 species